UACGUAGGGUGCGAGCGUUAAUCGGAAUUACUGGGCGUAAAGCGUGCGCAGGCGGUUUUGUAAGCCAGAUGUGAAAUCCCCGGGCUUAACCUGGGAACUGCAUUUGGGACUGCAAGGCUUGAGUGCGGCAGAGGAGACUGGAAUUCCUGGUGUAGCAGUGAAAUGCGUAGAUAUCAGGAGGAAUACCGAUGGCGAAGGCAGGUCUCUGGGCUGACACUGACGCUCAUGCACGAAAACGUGGGGAGCAAACAGG
rnacentral:rRNA from 1 species